rnacentral:rRNA from 1 species
GUAGGUGCGAGCGUUAAUCGGAAUUACUGGGGCGUAAAGCGUGCGCAGGCGGCUUUGCAAGACAGAUGUGAAAUCCCCCGGGGCUCAACCUGGGGAACUGCAUUUGUGACUGCAAGGCUAGAGUACGGCAGAGGGGGAUGGAAUUCCGCGUGUAGCAGUGAAAUGCGUAGAUAUGCGGAGGAACACCGAUGGCGAAGGCAAUCCCCUGGGCCUGUACUGACGCUCAUGCACGAAAGCGUGGGGAGCAAACAGGAUUAGAUACCCUGGUAGUCCACGCCCUAAACGAUGUCAACUGGUUGUUGGACGGCUUGCUGUUCAGUAACGAAGCUAACGCGUGAAGUUGACCGCCUGGGGAGUACGGCCGCAAGGUUG